ACCCUCCUGAUUCUUUACCCAUCAGAUCUAAACACCAGUCUGAGUGGUUAUUGGAGGAGAGAGAGUACAAUGGACGCACAAAUUCGUUGUGGACACCCCAUCUGGUUUAAAAAAAAA
rnacentral:snoRNA from 1 species